GUGGGGAAUAUUCCGCAAUGGACGAAAGUCUGACGGAGCAACGCCGCGUGAGUGAUGAAGGUUUUCGGACUGUAAAGCUCUGUUGUUUAGGACGAAAGUGCCUGUUGCAAAUAGUUACAGGUAUUGACGGUACUGAACGAGGAAGCCACGGCUAACUACGUGCCAGCAGCCGCGGUAAUACGUAGGUGGCAAGCGUUGUCCGGAAUUAUUGGGCGUAAAGAGCAUGUAGGCGGGAAUCUAAGGCUGUUGUGAAAAUGCGGGGCUCAACCCCGUAUUGCGAUGGAGACUGGGUUUCUUGAGUGUCGGAGAGGAAAGUGGAAUUCCAAGUGUAGCGGUGAAAUGCGUAGAGAUUUGGAAGAACACCAGUGGCGAAGGCGACUUUCUGGACGAUGUCUGACGCUGAGGCGCGAAAGCUAGGGGAGCGAACGGGAUUAGAUACCCGAGUAGUCC
rnacentral:rRNA from 1 species